CCCUUAGAUGUUCUGGGCUGCACGCGCGCUACACUGAUGCACUCAACGAGUUUACAACCUUAUCCGGAAGGAUUGGGUAAUCUUUUGAACGUGCAUCGUGAUGGGGAUAGAUUAUUGCAAUUAUUAAUCUUCAACGAGGAAUUCCUAGUAAGCGCAAGUCAUCAGCUUGCGCUGAUUACGUCCCUGCCCUUUGUACACACCGCCCGUCGCACCUACCGAUUGAAUGGUCCGGUGAAGCCUCCGGAUUGGCGCGCACCUCGGUGCCGCCGAGAAGUUGGCUAAACCUUACCAUUUAGAGGAAGGUGAAGUCGUAACA
rnacentral:rRNA from 1 species